rnacentral:lncRNA from 1 species
GAGAUGAGAUUCUCAGUUCCCACAGUGAACGCUGUGACAGCUCUUCUCUGAGGACACAAUUUGAUCUGGAAUAUACUUCUAAUAGUUCUUCCUUUAUAAUUUGUGGAGGGGCAGAGCUGAGGAUCGAACCCAGGGCCUUACACUUGCUAGGCAAACGCUCUACCGUUGAGCUAAAUCCUCAACACUGCUGUCUCUUCUGAUGGACACUUUGGCCCACAGAAUGCUGGAGAGAACUCGUAGUUGGAACUACUCAUGCUGCAGAAGGGGAAACUGAGGCACAAGGAGUCAGGGAACUCUCUGAUAAGUACUAAGUCCUUUACCCUCCUGUUUUUUCCAAAGCUGGGAUUUAGAUAGAAGUCUCUGAUUGUAUUAGCCCUGCCCCUUUAGAUGGAAGUCUCUAUCAUUCACAGUCACUCCAAGGCCAGAGGAUGUCUGCAGCAUGGGAUGAAAGUCACACAUAUGAAGAACUAAAGUCAAAAGAUGGUAUGUGCCAGCCCAGCCUGUUCUGUGCAUAGUGACACUUUCCUGAAGACCACCCAGCAGUUCUGAUGUGGUCACCUCAGAAGGCCAGUCUGUGUUUCAUUAGAAUCUCCAUUCAGAUGUUGGGAGAAGCCUUUGUUCGACUCUGGGAAGGAAGAACUAAGCUUAGCUAGGGAGGUCGCCAGCCAGAGGGUGUGGUUUUGCCUUGUACAGCCAUUGUGGAGGAUGCUCUAACAACUCUACUCACACUUGCUGAGCCCCCUGACUUCAGGGAAGGAAAAAAAGAGAGGGGGCGGGGAGGGAGAAAACAGCCUUUAAUCCCAGCACUUGGGAGACAGAGGCAGGUGGAUCCCUGUGAAUUUGAGGCCCGUCUGGUCUACAGAGUGAGUUCCAGGACAGCCAGGGCUACAAAGAUGAGCCCUGUCUCAAUAAACCAAACCAAAACAAAAGUAAAUCAAGAAAAAGAAAAACUCCUUUUUCUGUAUUGUCAGGCAUCCCUGAGGAUUAUACCUAUUAAAUUGUUAUUGGUCCAGCCUUACCAGUCACCUCUGUUUGGAGCAGAUGUCAAAUCAUGCAUCUAAGACUUACUUAUGAGGGCAUGGAGGGUAAAUCUAGACUCUGUAGUGUCCUGAGGCUUCAUGGUCUAAGGCAGGUUAAGUCCCUCCUGGUGAAAGUCUUGGGUUUUGGAAAGAUGUAACAAACCUUGUUGGAGCCAGAAUUCUCUUCCUUUUAAAAAUCGUUUUAAAAUUUGCCAUGUAUGUGCCUGUGCCAAAGUGCAUGGGUGGAGGUCAGUGGACAACUUUGGGGAGUUGGUUCUAUCUAUGUGUUUUCUGGGAGUCAAGCUCAGGCCAUAAGAUUUGGUAACAAGUAUCAUUACCUGCUUGGUGGUCUUGCUGGCCCUGGACCUAGGACUUUCUGCAGGUAGAUUCAACUGUGUGGAAGGAAGCUUGGCUAGUCUUCAGGCGCUGGGGACUCUAAGACCACGCUCCAUAAGAAUGCCUAUGGAGCUUGUCCAGGGUGCUGGAUAGAUUUCUGUCAUCUUGACACAAGUUAGAGUCACCUGAGAGGAGGGAACUCCAGUUGAGAAAAUGCCACUAGAGGCUCCUGCUGUAGGCAAGCCUGUAAUGUAGGGCAUUUCCUUAAAUUAGUGAUUGAUGGAAGAUGACCCAGCUCACUAUAGGUGGUGCCACCCUUGGCUGGUGGUUUUGGGUGCUAGAAGAAAGCAGGCUGAGCAAGCCAGUAAGCAACAUCCCCCCAUGGCUUCUGUGUCAGUUCCUGCCCUGAAUUCCUGCACUGACUUCUCUCAGUGAUGGACUGUUACCUGGAUGUAUAAGCUAAAAACAAAAACAACAACAACAACAACAACACCCCCAACUCUUUCCUCUCAGAGUUGCUUUUGGUCAUGGCGUUUUUAUUACAGAAAGAGAACCCCAUAAAAGACACCCAGCUUAUCUGUGUAGUCAGUUUGUCACAUUUCCACAUGUGUCCUUGAGUUGUCUCCAUGGUCAGACUGGGCAAAGGCUGGGGACCAGACAAGGAGUCUACUCUGUCUUAUUUGGCAGCAGUACACUACUAUAGGGGUGGCAACGGGUGUUGGUUUAGUUGAAACACAGAGGGUCCUCCUGCCUCAGGCAACUCAGCUCAAUCACCUGCUUCAACAGGAAGAAGGGAAGAACUCAGGUCCUAGUGCAGGACCAAGAGGUUUCAAGAAAUCCAAAUACCCACCCCAGCCGCACAGCACCCCAUAGCACGCAGGAUUGGCUGAAGCAUUCCAUCAGCCUGCACUUGCCGGAGCUUGGGGGCUGGGGCGAGGGGAGAGCAAUGUUGUCACUUUAAUUGCAUUGGCAUAAAUAUUUGAUAUUCAAUAAAUUAGAUCUGGAGCAAG